CAUGACAUUAAGCAUGAUUUCAAAUGACAACAAAUAAAGUGUGAAAGGGCUACAUGCUCGCAACUUCCUUUCACAGAGCAUAAAGGAUAGGAUUAGUUGAAGGCUAUCUCUGAUGUGUCACUCAUCUCCAGGAGAGAGGAGAACACAAGAUAAAACAUCUUUUGGUGGAUGAGCAAAGCCAGAGAGGAGAAAGAGAGAUGCUUCAGUAGAUAUAUGAUACAACUGAUCCUGACGCUGACCCUAAUCCUGAUCUGGAAUUCUGAUCUCAUGCCUGGAUAAAGGGAUAAAAAGUGGGCAGGUUGGGGGGAGUCACACAAAAAGAGAGACCUUGGACGGAUACUCAGAGGUGGGCUGGGUCAGUGGGACAUCAGGCAGCACUUUGACCAUACUGCGCCUUGAAGUUGUGAGGGGUGUGGGGUCUGUUAAGUCUCAUCCAACACACCCAGGCUUAGGGUGUGCACUGAGAGGAGGCACCAAGAGAGAGGGAUUGAAGUGAACUACAGGGAGCAGCCUGGCUAUGCUGUUUUGACUGAUAAAGAGGAGAGUCAGCGGCUCUUUACUCUCCUUCGUUUGCCUGCGUUUGAGACUACAGAGUAGUCUGGUGGGGAAAAAAGGAAAUUAUUUUGUUUUAUUGAUUGCAUAUAUGAAAGCCACAUGAAAUUGGAAAUGUAAACAAACAAGGGUAGGCCAUACUGUGCUUCUUACAGGGAAAAGAUGGUGGAGUGCACUUUAAGAACAUAUCUAUAUAAGGUAGCCAAAAUAUGACUGAAGAUCAUGUUUUGAUAAUACACAAGUGAAAAGCUUUAAAGUGAGCAGAGAGGCACUCAAUAAAGGUAUUAAAAAACAAUGGAGGAAUUUGUAUGAAUAUGUAAGAAAACUUUUAAAGAGGCUAAUAGCUAAAAGCUAUUGCUGGUUAGCAGCAAUAGCUAGCUAAAACGGUUAAAUGGCAUGCUAAACUCGUUGAUAAAAGCAAUGGGCAGCUGCUUAAAAAGAAGAGAUAAAGGAUUAAUCGGCCAUAGCAGGGGCCCUGAUGGAGGGGGAGCCAAGCGUAGAGAACAUGGCUGGCCCUCUCUCUAUCAAUCAGAGAACUCUUCUUCUACCCAAACCAAAUUGACCUGCCGAUGCACUGGCCACGUCCGGGCUCUAUGUGGAAAUAAAUCACACUGAAUCAGAGGCAGCUGGCAGACAGAUGACACAGUGCGUGGUCCGGGCUGCAUCUCUGUUCCCGGGUCAUCCAUUGCUCCCGGAGUGAUAAGUGGCUCUGUCCUGGUGCGGCUCGUCUGGCGCAUACACAGUCAAUCACGGAGUGGAGCCACAGUACAACGGCCGCCCGUGGAGGACAGCAGAGCAAUAACAAAACUCAAGGCUCCUGCUGAUGUCUGAAGCCUACAGCAGCAGUGAAUGCGGUUUGUAGAGGUCAUAUUUACUGACAAAUUAACAGGCAAAAUAUGAUUUCAAAUUCUUUUCACAUUUGAGGUGUCUUACGUUAAUUGCAGCCAUUCAAGUUUUAUUUGUAGAUAGCGCUAGUAGAUGAAGAUGAAGGCCUCUGUCUGGGCACAAGAAGGAGAUAUUGUGCUUCAUGACUGAAAUUUCAACCCGAGGCGCCCUGAGGGUUUCCCAGAGCUGAACUGUUUUAUCUGUGCAAAGCACACUUACUCUCGCCUCACAUAACUAGAAGACCUUAGAACAUGACUUUUCCGAACAACUGCACAUCCAUUAUUAUUUAAUCUCCUGUUGGUUAAUUUAUUUAGAUUUUGUGUUAUAGUUGUAGUCAGCUUUAGACUGAACCAGGAUAUCUAUUUUCCCGGUCUGCAGUCUUAAGUUAAGCUAUGCUAACUCGCGGUAGCAUCAGUCACUGCAAGAAAGUCAAAAAGACCAUUUCUCAUCUUAUUUAGCUUUUUCAUCAGUGAACCUUUCUAUAUGAUCAGUAUUUUAAUUGAUCUUUUCUUGGUAGAGAGUACUUCCACUGUAAAUGUUCAUGUAACUGUAAUUUUAAUAUAUUAGGGAGGUGGAAUAAAAUUUCAAGUCCUACACAGACACUCUGUGGAGUUAAAUAUGGAGUGUGGAAAUGUGGAUUCUCUCUGGGAUUCUCCUUGCUAGAGACAUGUGCAGCUCCUUGACACUAGAAGAUGCUUUGAGUAAAAAAAGCACAUAUCUGCCCAAUCCUCAGUGACAGGCACUCACACACAUUCAUAAUAAGAGAUAAAGGACUGCAGUCCAGCUUUAUGUCCCCGCUGCAAGCCCACCCGGCACCAGGCAGCGAGUUGCAGCAUCGAAGCACUAGAUGGCAGCACAGCUGCACCGCUGCAGCUUUUCUGAUUGAAUAUUUAGUCAUUCACGCAUUUCACCUGAUCAUUUGUAUGACACAGCAUGAUUAAAUAUCCCAGAAUGUCGUAUCUCCUCGUUCACUUCCUGUUAAAUUGACAUGUUGCCUGUUCUAGAACUUCUCAUGUGCACACCAUCGUCUCCAGGAAGAAGAAGAAAAAAAAAUCUAAUAACAUGGCUGACUAACUGCUCAGACUGCAUGUCAUGCUGUUGUGAGUUUGCUUGAAAAGAAAUAUACAUAAAUUAAAGUUGAGCUCCGACAUCCACUCGUUGGCCUUUUCCUAAACCACCCUCUGGAGAUGAAAAAAGUUCUCUGACUUCUGGAAGAGAAUAUUCUUGCUAAUCCUCUGGACCUGAUCACGCUUUGCCAGGUAAUUCCUAGAACCUGGCACUCUAUCAGUGAAAGGAAAUUGGGCUUAAGAUGUGCAGCCCCCUCUGGUCUUUCAGAGUGUCUUUAAGAAUGCUGAAGGGAAGACUUGUAAGUUCGAUAUUUACAGUCUGCUGUACUUGUACUGAUUUUAGGCAGCUAUGCCCGUUAACGUCAGUGAAUUAAAUCUAAACUGAAACAAAUACAUGUGUACAUCUCAGAUCUAAUUAAGGGGUAUUGUUCAGAAAAAGAAAAGAAACUGCAUCUGUACUUUAGUCACACAUCAUUUCUGAGGAUUUUCUUGCUUCCAGUACUCCAAGAACCCAAUGAGCGUGUCUGACCAUAUUGUGGUUGUAAAACAUACUUUCUUACUCAGAGACUCCUGCCCAUCAUGAUUCAUCCCAUCAUGACUGACUGUGCUCCCCAGAGCAUGAGAGAGAAGCUUAUCAUCUGUCUCCUCCUCAUUUCAUGCCCUGUAGCAGGCAGCCUUCACUAUGGAACCAUCCCAGGAUGUAGCCAUCACUGACACACCUUAAUUGCUACACAGGAAACUUUCAGGAGAAGCAGUGAGCGCAUAUCUAAUCCUGAUAUUCAAAAAAAAAAAAAAGUUUGGGGUGUGAUAUUGCCACAAAAAUGUAACCUUUCCACUGCUGCAGUUUCAGGAUAAGGUGAGCCAGCUGCAACCCUAAAAUGUGCUGGAAGCUGAGAUAACCUAUCCAAUAUCAGCAACUAAUGAGGCAGAAAGAGGAGCUGGAGCAGACAGACACUAUGAUUCCAGCUCCAUACGUUUUCAUGUGCAAGAUAAGCUUUGUCAGAGGUCAGAUACUGUGUGAUAGUUUGACCAAUUUCCAGCACUAUUUCUGCCAAUGGCUGUCGAUUUGAUGGCAGCGUGGAUUGCCAGCCGUGGUGAACGAGCAGCUGCAGUGCUUUUGGCCCACAGGGGAAAUCUGUUUGGGCUGGCCGGAGUUGAACAGCUGAGUACUUUUACUCGUGGUGAGAAGAUUGCUCUCAUGUUUUAUUGAACGUUGCCUCCGGCACUUCUCAUCCUUGACAAUCUGAUUCUCUGAAGGUCCACCUCAUGACCUUAAUGUUCAACCAAUGGGGUGUUGCAGUUCAGUCACGUUGACCCCUCCAUCAACCUCAUCAGCCUCAUCGGUCCUUUGGGUGGCAUUUAUGGGCCACUCUCCAGCUGGAUUAAUAUCUUUGCAGCACACCUGCGUUGUACUUAAUUGUCCUUGCACCUAUAUAACCUGUCAUGUUUGCCCUUUCGUUCACUCUUAC